rnacentral:tRNA from 1 species
CCUGUAGCUUAAUUGGAUAGAGCAAUAGACUACGGAUCUAUAGGUUGAAGGUUCGACUCCUUUCAG